rnacentral:misc_RNA from 1 species
GGAAAAUAAACAUUAGAAAUGGAGCACUUGAAAUUAUUGAUCCCAAAAUUUCAAGUGCUUCACAACAUGAGAUGCUUGGAGCUCUAGACAUUGCUCUGCGCUGCACAUCUGUAAUGCCAGAGAAACGACCUUCGAUGGUCCAAGUUCUUACGAUACUGCGUUCUCUCCAUUCAACAUUCAACCUUCCAUAUAUCCAUCAACCAUCCACUUCCACUUCCACCCAUACUCAUUCUUAAUUCUGCUCAAAUUCCCCAUAUAUUUUACUAUUUUUUAAAUGCAUUUUAACUAUCC